rnacentral:rRNA from 1 species
UACGUAGGGUGCAAGCGUUGUCCGGAAUUAUUGGGCGUAAAGAGCGUGUAGGCGGCCCGAUUAGUCCGCUGUGAAAGUCCAGGGCUCAACCCUGGAAUGCCGGUGGAUACUGUCGGGCUAGAGUCCGGAAGAGGCGAGUGGAAUUCCUGGUGUAGCGGUGAAAUGCGCAGAUAUCAGGAGGAACACCGAUGGCGAAGGCAGCUCGCUGGGACGUGACUGACGCUGAGACGCGAAAGCGUGGGGAGCAAACAGG